CCCGCAGCCGCGGGGCGCUGGGGGCCCUGGGGGCCCUGGAGCCCCUGCGCGCGGCCCUGGGGCGACAUCGCCUGCCGCAGCGCCGUGGGGCAGCAGCGGCGCACGCGGGACUGCUCGGGGCGCGGCCCGGGCGGCCCCCCCUGCCCCACGGCCCAGGGCAGCAGCAUCGAGCUGCGGGCGUGCUACAGCGUGCACAACUGCGUCCGUGAGUGCCGCCCCGCGGCCGCCCCACGGCCUCCCCACGGCUGCCCCACGGCCGCCCCACGGCCGCCCCACGGCCGCCCCACGGCCGCCCCACGGCUGCCCCACGGCUGCCCCACGGCCGCCCCACGGCCGCCCCACGGCCCCGGUUCCCAUCCCCACAGCCCCGGUUCCCAUCCCCAUAGCUGCCCCACAGCCCCGGUUCCCAUCCCCACAGCCCCGGUUCCCAUCCCCACAGCUCCGGUUCCCAUCCCCACAGCUGCCCCACAGCCCCGGUUCCCAUCCCCACAGCCCCGGUUCCCAUCCCCGCAGCUCCGGUUCCCAUCCCCACAGCUGCCCCACAGCUCCGGUUCCCAUCCCCACAGCUGCCCCACAGCUCCGGUUCCCAUCCCCACAGCUGCCCCACAGCCCCGGUUCCCAUCCCCACGGCCCCGGUUCCCACCCCCACAGCUCCGGUUCCCAUCCCCACAGCUGCCCCACAGCCCCGGUUCCCAUCCCCACAGCUCCGGUUCCCAUCCCCACGGCCCCGGUUCCCACCCCCACAGCCCCGGUUCCCAUCCCCACAGCCCCGGUUCCCAUCCCCGCAGCCCCGGUUCCCAUCCCCACAGCCCCGGUUCCCAUCCCCACAGCUCCGGUUCCCACCCCCACAGCUCCGGUUCCCAUCCCCACAGCUCCGGUUCCCAUCCCCACGGCUGUCCCACAGCCCCGGUUCCCAUCCCCGCAGCCCCGGUUCCCAUCCCCACAGCCCCGGUUCCCAUCCCCACAGCUCCGGUUCCCACCCCCACAGCUCCGGUUCCCAUCCCCACAGCUCCGGUUCCCAUCCCCACGGCUGUCCCACAGCCCCGGUUCCCAUCCCCACGGCUCCGGUUCCCA
rnacentral:lncRNA from 1 species